rnacentral:rRNA from 1 species
AUGGCGACGCCUCUUCUCCCCGGCCUCCCAGAUGAGAUCGUCACCUGGGAGAUCCUCGUCCUCCUGCCCCCCAAAUCCCUCCUCCGCUGCCGCGCCGUCCGCCGUGCCUGGCGCUCCGCCACCUCCACCCGCCGCUUCCUCCUCGCCCACCACGCGCCCGCCAGCCCAACCUCCCCGUUUUCACCAGCGACCACUGCCGUGAUAUCCUCGCCUUCGACCACCGCUCCGCCGCCGACGCCCAGCUCCAUUCCGUCGCCCGGCUUGACGGGGACUUCUGGAGGCCUCCUGCGACGGCCUCCUCCUCCUCUCCAAGGUUGA